rnacentral:rRNA from 1 species
UACGUAGGGUGCGAGCGUUGUCCGGAAUUAUUGGGCGUAAAGAGCUUGUAGGCGGUUUGUCGCGUCUGCUGUGAAAAUCCGGGGCUCAACCCCGGACUUGCAGUGGGUACGGGCAGACUAGAGUGCGGUAGGGGAGACUGGAAUUCCUGGUGUAGCGGUGAAAUGCGCAGAUAUCAGGAGGAACACCGGUGGCGAAGGCGGGUCUCUGGGCCGGAACUGACGCUGAGGAGCGAAAGCGUGGGGAGCGAACAGG